GACGAACGCUGGCGGCGUGCCUAAUACAUGCAAGUCGAACGCUGAAGGCGGAGCUUGCUUCUCUGGAUGAGUUGCGAACGGGUGAGUAACACGUAGGUAACCUGCCUGGUAGCGUGGGAUAACUAUUGGAAACGAUAGCUAAUACCGCAUAAUAGUAGAUGUUGCAUGACAUUUGCUUGAAAGGUGCAAUUGCAUCACUACCAGAUGGACCUGCGCUGCAUUAGCUAGUUGGUGAGGUAACGGCUCACCAAGGCGACGAUACAGAGCCGACCGGCGACGGGGGUCGGCCAGACUGGGACUGUGACACGGCCCAGACGCCUACGGGAGGCGGCAAGAGGGCAUCUGCGGGAAGCGGCGGAAGACUUAGCGAACAACGCCGAGGGCGUAAAGAAGAUUGUCGGGUGGUGGAGGUCGGUUGUCAGGGUGGAACGAGUGUGAGAGUGGAAAGUACAGUCUGUGACGGUAACUGAUAAAGAAGCGACGGCUAACUACGUG
rnacentral:rRNA from 1 species